AGAGGCUAGACUUUGCUGAGGCUCUAGCCCCAGGAAUCCUUGACAGGAAGUGUGGAGUUGCUGCCCAGCCUCCCACGCAGUGUAGAGGUGAUGCCUAAUGGGUGGAAAGACAGGGAUUCCAGAAGAUUUGCGAUUGGAAUUUGCUGCUACAAACCAUGCUGAAAGAAUCCAACUUCCAUACUUACAGCAAAAAUGUCAAUCUGCACUUACAGGAAGAGAGCAGAAACAGAGAGAACUCUCAAGUGGCCGUAAUGGAUGGAGCUGAGCCAAUCUGAAGCCAGGAGCCUCCUCUAGUUCUCCAAGAUGGGAGCGGGAUCCCAAGACUUUGGGCCAUCCUCUACUGCUUUCCCAGGCCACAAACAGAAAGCUGGAUGGGAAGUGGAGCAGCUGGGACAUGAACUGACA